AGUAACUAAUUAAGAAGUUAAGUAGCGCAAUUACGUUAAUCAUUCAACAGAACAUUUUGAUUUCUCGUAGAAAUAAUGGCUGCCUGAUCAAGUAAUUUACAUCAAGUGUUAGAUUUGUACUAUCUGCCAUAAGCAAUCUUUAAAAAAUUUGGUGCAGCUAAACAAACCUCCUGUAUAUAAAAUAUAGGAAUUCAACCGGGGCCUAAUCAAUAGAUCGUUAUACGGUUCAUUUCGCUGUAUAGACGAUCCCUGUGAGGCGUUCGACUGUACAGUCGUCUAGGACAAACGAGACAUGAACGAAUUCCUACGUCCUCGCUUUGUGCUGUUUCCCCUUUCACGCGCUUGUUCCUAUAAGGGUAUGACUUUUGUCUUCCCAAACCAUAAUAAAUGUUGAUUGAUUGAUUGAUUGAUUGAUUGAUUGAUUGAUUGAUUGAUUGAUUGAUUGAUUGAUUGAUUGAUUGAUUGAUUGAUUGAUUGAUUGAUUGAUUGAUUGAUUGAUUCGAGGCUUAUCGCAAUUUUCGUCAUCAAUUUCAGCGUCUGACGAAGACAAUAAUAGCGGGCCGUUCGUGCUAGACCACCCACAUCCAGACGACUCGGUCGGAAAAGAAUUCGACCUAUACGGGAGCGUUGCCGCGUUCGCCGAAGACCUCUUCCUCGACGAGGAAGCUUCACCCCAGGAGCCGAAGAACACGUCCGGGCUAGAAGACAGCUAUCUGAACGCCUUGGACGUCAUUUGAG
rnacentral:lncRNA from 1 species